rnacentral:rRNA from 1 species
GACAGGGGGGGCAAGCGUUGUUCGGAAUUACUGGGCGUAAAGGGUCUGUAGGUGGCCAACUAAGUCAGACGUGAAAUCCCUCAGCUUAACUGGGGAACUGCGUCUGAUACUGGAUGGCUUGAGUGUGGGAGAGGAAUGCGGAAUUCCAGGUGUAGCGGUGAAAUGCGUAGAUAUCUGGAGGAACACCGGUGGCGAAGGCGGCAUUCUGGACCAUAACUGACACUGAGAGACGAAAGCCAGGGGAGCAAACGGG